GCCCGGAUGGCGAAAUCGGUAGACGCAGCGGACUUAAAAUCCGCGGCCCCGAACAGGGGUAUACGGGUUCGAGUCCCGUUCCGGGCACCA
rnacentral:tRNA from 1 species